AAGGUGGGGAUGACGUCAAUCAUCAUGCCCUUAUGACCUGGGCUACACACGUGCUACAAUGGGCGGUACAAAGGGUCGCGAACCCGCGAGGGGGAGCCAAUCCCAAAAAGCCGCUCUCAGUUCGGAUUGCAGGCUGCAACUCGCCUGCAUGAAGCCGGAAUCGCUAGUAAUCGCGGAUCAGCAUGCCGCGGUGAAUACGUUCCCGGGCCUU
rnacentral:rRNA from 1 species